AAGCACAGCGGAAAUAGUCUGGAUCACCAGAGCCAUUCGGUCACCCACGAGAGACCUCACCUACAACAACAACGGCAAAGUUAUGGCAACUAGCUGUGAGCAUAUGGCACCACUGGAGUUCUCGUCACGGUCAAACCACCCAACUUCAAAGAUUUAUUUUCUAGGAAACAAGUUAUGUUUCCUGGUGAAUAAAAGUGAAGUCAAGUGGCAAAGCUUCUAGACAGAUCAAAACAUGCAAGGUCUGCUGGAGAGGAACUAUGCUGAAGCAGCGGCGAGGAAGGCUGCACCACAAGAUGACUACUUGUUCAUCCCAAGCAACGAGCAUCAAUACCUUGCGGCAGCUGGGAGAUGAAGUUGUGGGCGUUGGCGGCCUUGGCGGCGGCGACCACCUCCUCCGCCGUGGCGUCCUCCUUGCCGAACAGGAUGUUCUCCCGGAUGGUGGUGGCGAACAGCGCCGGCUCCUGGCUGACGAGCCCCAUCUGCGCGCGCACCCACUUCAGCCGGAGCCGCCGGAGGUCCACGCCGUCGAGCGUCACCUCGCCGGCCGCCGGGUCGUAGAACCGCUCCAGCAGCGCGAUCACCGUCGACUUGCCGGAACCACUGCCGCCGACCAGCGCCACCGUGCGCCCCGCCGGCACGCGGAGGCUGAAGCUCACGAAGAUGGGGCUCUCCGGCCGCGACGGGUAGCAGAACUCCACGUUCCGGAACUCCACCUCGCCGGCGACGCUGCCCAGCUCCUCGCCGGCGCCGCUCUCCGAGUCGAUCUUGGGGACCCGCCGGAUCACCUCCAGCACCCUCUCCGCCGCCGAGCUCGCCUCCGAGAAGUACUUCACGUUCGACAGCCCCGACCCCAGCGCUCUGCAACCCAACCCACACACCACAUGCAUGCAAGGCACGUCGUCAAUGGCGCGUCGCCGUCGCCGCCGUCAAGAACUAUAUGAGUGGGAGGUGUUAGUGCGCACAGGCCGCCGACGACGAUGGCGGCGGAGACGGCGAAGACGGUGCCGCCCUGCUGGCCGUGGUACAUGACGAGGCGGCUGCCGUACCAGACGUUGAAGGCCCAGAUGGCGAAGGUGAUGCCGUUGCUGCCGACGGCGACGCCCUUGGCGAGCCCCUGCUUGAGCCCCAGCCUCGCCGACUCCUCCAGCGCCGCCGAGAACCGCGCCAUGGUGGCCCGCUCCGCCGCGAACGCGUACACCGUGCGCACCGACGACACGGCCUGCUCGGCGAAGGCGCCCGGCUGGGCGUACUGCUCCCGGAUCCGCCGCGCCAGGCCGACGAGGAUGCGGCCGUACAUGUACCCCGGGAUGAUGAGCAGCACCACCGACGGCAGCGCCACCAGCGUCAGCCGCCACAGCAGCGCGAACCCGACGGCGUAGCUGCCGGCGAACAUGGCGGCGUUCAUCACGAAGUUGGGCACCUUCUCGCUCAGCACGUCCUGCACCACCAGGCUGUCGUUCGACACGCUGGUGAUCACCUCCGCCGUCGACCCCUUCUUCAGGUCAAAGUACUCCACGUCUUGCCGGAGCACCGCCCUCAGGUACCUCGCCCGCAUCCGCGACGCCUGCCGCUCCGCCGUGCGCGCCCAGCAGUACCCCUCUGCUCCCACACACGCACACACACCUCGCCGGCGUCAGCUCGCCGCCGGCAUUGGCACGCGGCCAUGACCAGUACGUAAUGCAGAGCUACGGAGCUACCUCACCUAGGAACGCCAUGACCCACGAGCCGGCGGCCAAGAAGACGAGGUUCCUCGCGUUCUGCUCAGGAUCGAGCUAGGCGAUCGAGCGCGUACCACGUUGACCUUGGAGCUGAACUGCUGGACGAUGUCGGCGCCGCUGCCGAGGUCGUUGAAGAUGCGGCUGGUGAUGA